GGAUCUCUUGUUGGAAGUUCCUCCCUUGUGGAGUUUUCCCUAUGUGCCUAGAUCUUUUAGUUUCAGCUGGGAUGGAAUAGUUUUCUUCAGAAUAUCUGGACAAGGAGCCUGUACUCUUAGUGGUUUCUAUUCUAUUGGCACUAUCACUAUGCAGAGAGGCCAAAAUGGAUUUAGUAUGUUUUUGAAGUACUGAACACUUGCUAAACUGCCACUGAGAGAUUUGGAGCACAAGUCCUUUUAUUUCUAUUCCAAAUGAUGCCAAAUAAAAACAGCAC
rnacentral:lncRNA from 7 species